AACCAAUAAAUGAUUGAUUGUCAUU
rnacentral:piRNA from 1 species